UACGAAGGGGGCGAGCGUUGUUCGGAUUUACUGGGCGUAAAGGGCGCGCAGGCGGCUAUCCAAGUCAGGCGUGAAAGCCCCGGGCUUAACCUGGGAGGUGCGUCUGGGACUGGGUGGCUAGAGUUCGGGAGAGGAGAGUGGAAUUCCCAGUGUAGAGGUGAAAUUCGUAGAUAUUGGGAAGAACACCGGUGGCGAAGGCGGCCCACUGGAUCGGUACUGACGCUGAGGUGCGAAAGCGUGGGGAGCAAACAGG
rnacentral:rRNA from 1 species